rnacentral:rRNA from 1 species
GAUGAACGCUAGCUACAGGCUUAACACAUGCAAGUCGAGGGGUAACGAGAGGAAAGCUUGCUUUCCUUGUCGACGACCGGCGCACGGGUGAGUAACGCGUAUCCAACCUGCCCCCAACUAAGGAAUAACCUUGCGAAAGUAAGUCUAAUACCUUAUAAUUUCCUCAGAUGCCAUCUGACGAGGAAUAAAGAUUUAUCGGUUGUGGAUGGGGAUGCGUCUGAUUAGCUUGUUGGCGGGGUAACGACCCACCAAGGCAACGAUCAGUAGGGGUUCUGAGAGGAAGGUCCCCCACAUUGGAACUGAGACACGGUCCAAACUCCUACGGGAGGCAGCAGUGAGGAAUAUUGGUCAAUGGGCGAAAGCCUGAACCAGCCAAGUAGCGUGCAGGAUGACGGCCCUAUGGGUUGUAAACUGCUUUUAUACAGGAAUAAAGUUAGCCACGUGUGGUUAUUUGUAGGUACUGUAUGAAUAAGGACCGGCUAAUUCCGUGCCAGCCGCCGCGGUAA